ACAGCAGCAGCCACGGGAAUACGGAGGGUGCAAGCGUUAUCCGGAUUUAUUGGGUUUAAAGGGUCCGUAGGCGGAUCUGUAAGUCAGUGGUGAAAUCUCACAGCUUAACUGUGAAACUGCCAUUGAUACUGCAGGUCUUGAGUAAAUUUGAAGUGGCUGGAAUAAGUAGUGUAGCGGUGAAAUGCAUAGAUAUUACUUAGAACACCAAUUGCGAAGGCAGGUCACUAAGAUUUAACUGACGCUGAUGGACGAAAGCGUGGGGAGCGAACAGGAUUAGAGACCCCGGUAGUCCCUGUCUCUUAUAC
rnacentral:rRNA from 1 species